rnacentral:tRNA from 1 species
GCAUUGGUGGUUUGGUGGUAGAAUACUUGCCUUCCAUGCGGAGACCUGGGUUUGAUUCCUGGCCAAUACG